UUUUGUACCAGACCUGGGUGGGAAGUCAGCUCCACCACUGACUAGCUUUAAACUUAAGCACGGGUAUUAACCAGUCAAACUCUGGGUUUGAAUCCCAACACUGUCACUUAUGAACUAUGUGUCAAAGCUAAUAUUUUGGGCAAGCUAAUAAUUUCAAUGGUAAAUCUAACUUUGUUCAUGAAUGACAUUAUGGUAAUCAGAGUACCUACUUCAUAGGAUUGUUGUGGGAAUUAAAUGAGCAAAUGUGAAAACUGGUGCCUGACACAUAAGCACUCGGUAGUGUUAGUUUUCAUCAUUAACUGCUUUAGACAUCAAUAUAGUAAAUUUAGUAAAUCACUUGUUAAUAUGAUAUACUAAUGAUUCUCUACCAUAACAAAUAAGUGGGUGUUUUGAUUGAGAAUUAAACAAAUUUGUCAUUGCAAAGGAGAGAAAGAGACUGGAACUGGAGGUUUUCCCCCAAAUUAUGAUGAACAUCUUAUAUUUUAAAGUGAAGUGCUUGGCUCUUCCCUCAAGGUCAGUUUAUUGUUCAUUAUAGCCCAUAUGCACAGACCUUCAUCUCCCUCCAUUUGGGCUUAAAAGGCUUUUUCUCUGUAAGGCCCAAAGUCAGCUCUGAGGAAGGAAGGAAAUAAAGGUAUGCAACUUUCUUAACUACUUCAGCCAGGAAGUGACACACAUCACUUUGCUUACAUUCCAUUGGUGCAAAUUAGUCAUUUGGCCCCACCUAAGUGAAAAGGGAACGGGGAAUUGUGUAGUCCCUGGUUGGGUCAUUGCUCUCUAGCAUUAACUGUACACAAAGGAAAUAGGGCAGGCAUAGUCAUUGGUGGAUCUGCCAUGAUCUAUCCCUUCUCCUUACACGCAGGACACUAAACUCCCAAGGGGGAUGACUCAAAGAUUCAUCCCAAUGUUGUCUCCAGCUCCACAUCCAAGACCUCCAGGAUGUGCAUACUCUUCUUCAUAAGUGAAGAGGAGUUUCUGGACAGAAGAAGGGCAUGAACAAAAUGGAAAACAGACUGGAUCUCUGAAUGACUGCAUGGAGCAGAACCUGCCCACAUCCCCUUCAACAUUCGUUGGGCUCAGGUGGAUAGUAGCAAGGAAUGAUCCGGCUAUCAGGGAGGCAUCGGGGGCACCAGCACACAUCUGUGCUCUGAAAUGCGCUCUGCACUGCAUCAUCAUAAAAGGAAAAAUGGAACCAUUUGGAGACAUGGAGAACAAUAAAUGAAGGAAAAGUUAGGUCAGAAAGGAUGUCAACAGCACAUUUUCUCAUAAAGGAAUGGAUAGUUAUCCUGGUGGUGUUCCUGAUGUUGGGGCAAGGCAUGGCAAUCAUAAAUGGUCCAGAAGGUACAAAUGGGAACUCCUACCCAGACCUCUCGAAUCUAACCUUAACUCUGCCUCUGGACCACAGCAAAAACUAUAGUCUGAUUGUCAAAGUAUCCAAUAACCUCUCUCCCACAUCUCUUGUAAGAACUCGGAGCAUUAAUCUUUCAUCAAGAACAUUUACGAUCAAUGUAUUUCCUCGUGCUCAUUUCCUGGAUGGUCUGUUCAUUUAUGUUUUAUCUUGCCCACUUUCUUCAAGGCCAAAAUCAAUUCCGGUAAACUCCACCAAAUAUCUUUUAGGCUAUAUGCUCACUCUCUCUUUAUAAAAAGAAUGGAUCUGUCUAUCUGUGAAUAGCUUUCUGUUAUUUCCAUAUAUAUUUCUUUUUUCUU